UUCUCUGAUGUUAGCGGCGGACGGGUGAGUAACACGUGGGUAACCUACCUAUAAGACUGGGAUAACUCCGGGAAACCGGGGCUAAUACCUGAUAAUAUUUUGAACCGCAUGGUUCGAUAGUGAAAGGCGGCUUCGGCUGUCACUUAUAGAUGGACCCGCGCCGUAUUAGCUAGUUGGUAAGGUAAUGGCUUACCAAGGCGACGAUACGUAGCCGACCUGAGAGGGUGAUCGGCCACACUGGAACUGAGACACGGUCCAGACUCCUACGGGAGGCAGCAGUAGGGAAUCUUCCGCAAUGGGCGAAAGCCUGACGGAGCAACGCCGCGUGAGUGAUGAAGGUUUUCGGAUCGUAAAACUCUGUUGUUAGGGAAGAACAAAUUUGUUAGUAACUGAACAAGUCUUGACGGUACCUAACCAGAAAGCCACGGCUAACUACGUGCCAGCAGCCGCGGUAAUACGUAGGUGGCAAGCGUUAUCCGGAAUUAUUGGGCGUAAAGCGCGCGUAGGCGGUUUCUUAAGUCUGAUGUGAAAGCCCACGGCUCAACCGUGGAGGGUCAUUGGAAACUGGGGAACUUGAGUGCAGAAGAGGAGAGUGGAAUUCCAUGUGUAGCGGUGAAAUGCGCAGAGAUAUGGAGGAACACCAGUGGCGAA
rnacentral:rRNA from 1 species